rnacentral:rRNA from 1 species
GAUGAACGCUGGCGGCGUGCCUAAUACAUGCCAGUCGAGCGAACGGACGAGAAGCUUGCUUUUCUGAUGUUAGCGGCGGUCGGGUGAGUAACACGUGGAUAACCUACCUAUAAGACUGGGAUAACUUCGGGAAACCGGAGCUAAUACCGGAUAAUAUUUUGAACCGCAUGGUUCAAAAGUGAAAGACGGUCUUGCUGUCACUUAUAGAUGGAUCCGCGCUGCAUUAGCUAGUUGGUAAGGUAACGGCUUACCAAGGCAACGAUGCAUAGCCGACCUGAGAGGGUGAUCGGCCACACUGGAACUGAGACACGGUCCAGACUCCUACGGGAGGCAGCAGUAGGGAAUCUUCCGCAAUGGGCGAAAGCCUGACGGAGCAACGCCGCGUGAGUGAUGAAGGUCUUCGGAUCGUAAAACUCUGUUAUUAGGGAAGAACAUAUGUGUAAGUAACUGUGCACAUCUUGACGGUACCUAAUCAGAAAGCCACGGCUAACUACGUG